rnacentral:rRNA from 1 species
UGGGGAAUAUUGCACAAUGGGCGCAAGCCUGAUGCAGCCAUGCCGCGUGUAUGAAGAAGGCCUUCGGGUUGUAAAGUACUUUCAGUCGGGAGGAAGGUGGUAAGGUUAAUAACCUUGGCAAUUGACGUUACCGACAGAAGAAGCACCGGCUAACUCCGUGCCAGCAGCCGCGGUAAUACGGAGGGUGCAAGCGUUAAUCGGAAUUACUGGGCGUAAAGCGCACGCAGGCGGUUGAUUGAGUCAGAUGUGGAAUCCCCGGGCUUAACCCGGGAAUUGCAUCUGAUACUGGUCAGCUAGAGUCUUGUAGAGGGGGGUAGAAUUCCAUGUGUAGCGGUGAAAUGCGUAGAGAUGUGGGGGAAUACCGGUGGCGAAGGCGGCCCCCUGGACAAAGACUGACGCUCAGGUGCGAAAGCGUGGGGAGCAAACAGG